rnacentral:rRNA from 1 species
UACAGAGGUCCCAAGCGUUGUUCGGAUUUAUUGGGCGUAAAGGGUGCGUAGGCGGCGGAGUAAGUUGGGUGUGAAAUCCCGGGGCUCAACCUCGGAAUUGCAUUCAAUACUGCUUCGCUCGAGUACUGGAGAGGAGACUGGAAUUUACGGUGUAGCAGUGAAAUGCGCAGAUAUCGGGAGGAACACCUAUGGCGAAGGCAGCUCGCUGGGACGUUACUGACGCUGAGACGCGAAAGCGUGGGGAGCAAACAGG